UUAAUUGAAACCAAACUUGAGGUAUAUUAUUGUUAAUAAUUUCAAUGAAUAAAAUAUUCCAAUUAAA
rnacentral:tRNA from 1 species